rnacentral:rRNA from 1 species
GACGGAGGAUGCAAGCGUUAUCCGGAAUUAUUGGGCGUAAAGCGUCCGUAGGUGGCUAAUCAAGUCUGCUGUCAAAGCGUGGAGCUUAACUCCAUACCGGCGGUGGAAACUGAUGAGCUAGAGUGCGAUAGGGGUAGCAGGAAUUCCCAGUGUAGCGGUGAAAUGCGUAGAGAUCGGGAAGAACACCGGUGGCGAAAGCGCUCUGCUGGGCCGCAACUGACACUCAGGGACGAAAGCUAGGGGAGCGAAUGGG